GACGAACGCUGGCGGCGUGCCUCAUACAUGCAAGUAGAACGCAGUUGCGAACGGGUGCGUAACGAGUCGGUAACUGCCUCAUAGCGGGGGAUAACUCUUGGAAACGAUAGCUAAUACCGCAUACUGUGAGAUGGACCUGCGUUGUAUUAGCUAGUUGGUGAGGUAAAGGCUCACCAAGGCGACGAUCCGUAGCUGGUUUGAGAGGACGACCAGGCACACUGGGACGGGGCAACGGCCCAGACUCCUACGGGAGGCAGCAGUAGGGAAUCUUCGGCAAUGGACGGAAGUCUGACCGAGCAACGCCGCGGUAGGGAAGGAGGGUUUCGGAUCGUAAAGAUCUGGUGUGAGAGAAGCGGUAGCUAACCAGAAAGGGACGGCUAACUACGUGCCAGCAGCCGCGGUAAUAC
rnacentral:rRNA from 1 species